UACAGGGGGUGCAAACGUUGCUCGGAAUCAUUGGGCGUAAAGCGCACGUAGGCGGUUCGUUAUGUCGGAUGUGAAAGCCCUUGGCUUAACCGAGGAAGUGCAUCCGAAACUGGCGAGCUAGAGUACUAAAGAGGAUCGCGGAAUUCCCGGUGUAGAGGUGAAAUUCGUAGAUAUCGGGAGGAACACCGGUGGCGAAGGCGGCGAUCUGGGUAGAUACUGACGCUGAGGUGCGAAAGCGUGGGGAGCAAACAGGG
rnacentral:rRNA from 1 species